rnacentral:rRNA from 1 species
AAACGGUGAUUAAUACCGGAUACUCCUUCUUGUUAUAAGACAAGUCGGGAAAGUUUUUCGCUAAGGGAUCAGUCUAUGUUCCAUCAGCUUGUUGGUGAGGUAAUGGCUCACCAAGGCUAUGACGGAUAUCUGGUUUGAGAGGAUGAUCAGACACACUGGAACUGAGACACGGUCCAGACUCCUACGGGAGGCAGCAGUGAGGAAUAUUGCACAAUGGAGGAAACUCUGAUGCAGCAACGCCGCGUGGAGGAUGACGCAUUUCGGUGUGUAAACUCCUUUUAUUAGGGAAGAUAAUGACGGUACCUAAUGAAUAAGCACCGGCUAACUCCGUGCCAGCAGCCGCGGUAAUACGGAGGGUGCAAGCGUUACUCGGAAUCACUGGGCGUAAAGGGUGCGUAGGCUGGCUUUUAAGUCAGAUGUGAAAUCCAAUGGCUCAACCAUUGAACUGCAUUUGAAACUGAAAGCCUAGAGUUCAGAAGGGGCAGAUGGAAUUAGUGGUGUAGGGGUAAAAUCCGUAGAUAUCACUAGGAAUAUCAAAAGCGAAGGCGAUCUGCUGGGAUGAUACUGACG